rnacentral:rRNA from 1 species
ACGCUGGCGGCGUGCCUAAUACAUGCAAGUAGAACGCUGAAGAGAGGAGCUUGCUCUUCUUGGAUGAGUUGCGAACGGGUGAGUAACGCGUAGGUAACCUGCCUUGUAGCGGGGGAUAACUAUUGGAAACGAUAGCUAAUACCGCAUAACAAUAGGUGACACAUGUCAUUUAUUUGAAAGGGGCAAUUGCUCCACUACAAGAUGGACCUGCGUUGUAUUAGCUAGUAGGUGAGGUAACGGCACACCUAGGCGACGAUACAUAGCCGACCUGAGAGGGUGAUCGGCCACACUGGGACUGAGACACGGCCCAGACUCCUACGGGAGGCAGCAGUAGGGAAUCUUCGGCAAUGGGGGCAACCCUGACCGAGCAACGCCGCGUGAGUGAAGAAGGUUUUCGGAUCGUAAAGCUCUGUUGUAAGUCAAGAACGAGUGUGAGAGUGGAAAGUUCACACUGUGACGGUAGCUUACCAGAAAGGGACGGCUAACUACGUGCUAGCAGCCGCGGUAAUACGUAGGUCCCGAGCGUUGUCCGGAUUUACUGGGCGUAAAGCGAGCGCAGGCGGUUUGAUAAGUCUGAAGUUAAAGGCUGUGGCUCAACCAUAGUUCGCUUUGGAAACUGUCAAACUUGAGUGCAGAAGGGGAGAGUGGAAUUCCAUGUGUAGCGGUGAAAUGCGUAGAUAUAUGGAGGAACACCGGUGGCGAAAGCGGCUCUCUGGUCUGUAACUGACGCUGAGGCUCGAAAGCGUGGGGAGCGAACAGGAUUAGAUACCCUGGUAGUCCACGCCGUAAACGAUGAGUGCUAGGUGUUGGAUCCUUUCCGGGAUUCAGUGCCGCAGCUAACGCAUUAAGCACUCCGCCUGGGGAGUACGACCGCAAGGUUGAAACUCAAAGGAAUUGACGGGGGCCCGCA